ensembl:lncRNA
GUUGAAUAUAGGCUUUUGUAGUAGGAUCUGAUGAUUUUUUAAAAUUUCUUCAGAUUCUGUUGUUAUCUCUCCCUUUUCAUUUCUGAUUUUCUUAAUUUGGAUACACUCUCUGUGACCUCUGGUUAGUCUGGCUAAGUGUUUAUCUAUCUCGUUAAUUUUCUCAAAGAACCAGCUCCUGAGUUUGGUGAUUCUUUGUAUAGUCCUUUUCUUUCCUAUUUGGUUGAUUUCAGGUCUGAGUUUGAUUAUUUCCUGACUUCUACACUUUUUGGGUUUAUUUAUUUCUUUUUGUUCUAGAGCUUUAAGGUGUGCUGUCAAGCUGCUGGCAUAUGCUCUCUCAUGUUUCUUUUUGCAGGCACUCAGAGCUAUGAGUUUUCCUCUUAGUACCACUUUCAUUGUGUCCCAUAAAUUUGGGAAUGUUUUAUCUUCAUUUUCAUUAAAUUCUAAGAAGUCUUUAAUUUCCUUCUUUAUUUCUUCCUUGACCACGUUGUCAUUGAGUUUAGCAUUGUUCAACUUCCAUGUAUAUGUGGGCUUUCUGUCAUUAUUGUUGUUAUUGAAGACCAGUCUUAGUACAUGGUGAUCUGAAAGGACGCUUGGGAUUAUUUCUAUCUUCCUGUAUCUGUUCAGGCCUGUUUUGUGACCGAUUAUAUGGUCAAUUUUUGAGAAGGUUCCAUGAGGUGCUGAGAAGAACGUAUAUCCUUUUGCUUCCAGGAUGGAAUGUUCUAUAAAUAUCUGUUAUAUCCAAUUGGUUCAUAACUUCUGUUAGUUUCUCUAUGCCUCUUUUUAUUUUCUUUUUCCAUGAUGUAUCCAGUGAUGAGAGUAGGAUGUUGAAAUCUCCUUGUAUUAUCGUGUGAGGCGCAAUGUGUGCUUUGAGCUUUAGUAAGGUUCCUUUUAUGAAUGUAGGUGCCCUGGCAUUUGGAGCAUAAAUAUUUAGGAUUGAGAGUUCAUCUUGGUAGAUGUUUCCUGUGAUGAAUAUAAAGUGUCCUUCCUUAUCUUUUUUAAUGACUCUUGGAUGGCAACUUCAGCUUGUUUCUUCAGACCAUUUGCUUGCAAAAUUGUUUUCCAGCCAUUUACUCUGAGGUACUGUCUGUCUUUGUCUCUGAGGUGUGUUUCCUGCUUGCAGCAAAAUACUGGGUCCUCCUUACAUAUCCAGUCUGUUAGUCUAUGUCUUUUUAUUGGGGAGUUGAGACCAUUGAUGUUGAGAGAUAUUAAGGAAUAGUGAUUAUCGCUUCCUUUUAUUUUCAUUGUUAAAGGUGGAAUUAUGUUUGUCUUUCUUUUGGUUUCAUUGCAGGGAAAUUAUAUUCUUGCUUUCUGUACAGUCUAGUUUCUCUCCUUGUGUUGGAGUUUUCCAUCUAUUGUCCUUUGUAGGGCUGGAUUUGUAAAAAGGUAUUGCAUAAACUUGGUUUUGUCAUGGAAUAUCUUGGUUUCUCCAUCUAUGUUAAUGGAAAAUUUUGCUGGAUACAAUAACCUGGGUUGGCAUUUGUGUUUUCUUAGGGUCUGUACAACAUCUCUCCAGGAUCUUCUGGCUUUCUUAGUCUAUGGUGAGAAGUCUGGUGUAAUUGUUAUAGGUCUGCCUUUAUAUGUCACUUGACCUUGUUUCCUUACUGCUUUUAAAACUCUUUCUUAGUUUUGUGCAUUUAGAGGGCAUUGGAUCCCAUUACAGAUGGUUGUGAGCCACCAUGUGGUUGCUGGGAAUUGAACUCAGAACCUCCAGAAGAGCAGUCAGUGCUCUUAACCGCUGAGCCAUCUCUCCAGCCCUACAAAUUCUUUUCUUAUUUCUAUACUUAGGGUGUGGCAUACGUAUGUCAGACACCAGCCGUAUAUAAAAUGUUAAACCAAAUAAGGAUCAAUGAUGCCACUUGAAGCUCAAAGCAUCCUUGGAUUUUAUCUCUAAAACUCACAUAGUUGAAGUAGAUAAUAGACAUCUGUGAGGUGUUUUCUCACUGCUACCUAUGUUAUGUUAAUCUUUUUCAUCUGUUAUAAAUAAUUUCCUUUUUUUCCUUUUCCUUCAUUUUUAUUAUUUUAUUUUGAAGAGUAUUUUCACUCUCGUCUCUGGCUGGCCUACCUGUUGUAUAAUCUCAAAGAAUUUUGCCCACCUUGCCUGAGAAUACCAGCAUUAGAGGUGAACAUGUCAGAGCUUGAUGAAUAUGUGGAACUGCUCAUGUUGCUCAUGCUGUGAUUCUAAUGACUCACUAAAGUGGAAGCCACCUCAGCCAGACCUGGUGGCACAGGCCUGUAAUCACCGUGCUUGGAAAGUGGAGACAGCCAUUUCAGGAUUUCGAGGUCAUCCAAGGUGCAAGUGAUCAACGGGGUAUGCUGCUAGUCCUAGAGAAACAAGGCAGAAU